CAAAUUGUUUUUGAAAUGGAAUAUAACAAAAAGGAAUACCAUUUGAAAUUCAAUAUUGAAGAUGAAAGUAAAUCUUUUGUGAAACCUUAUGCAAGGAGAGAAUGGAUAUAAUUCAUUUAAACUUGCAAACUAUAAUCAUACCCUUCUUUGGAAUACAUAAUAUCUUUAAAGAGAUACAGAUUAUGUAACCUGCAUAAUAAACAUCAUUAACUGAACGAGAUGAGGACCUAAUUGCUGUUUGAAGAUAUCUGGUCUGAAAUAUCUAUGAAGUCAGAAUAAUGAUGAGCUGUCUCAGGUGAUGACAUGUGAAAUAAGAUAUGAGCAUACUUAUACACAAUACUAACAAGUAAAUACCUAACAUUUUAAUAAGAUAAUUUCAAGGUGACUGUACUUAACAGGUUUUUGUAUGGAAGGUAUAUAAACUAUUAAUGCCAGUUGUGAUGCAGUACCGUCCUGCAGAAUUUGAAGUCUCCAGAAGUUGUGUUAAAGUGGAACAAUAAUAUCUUUAAACAUUUUUCCUUUACGAUUUUGUUAAAAUACAUGCAGUAACUCUUUGCAAUAACUCCGUAUGACUUUGAUUCCAUGUUCGCAAUACUGAUAAUUGACUUUACUUUGAAAUUAUAUGAGACAGUUGGUAUAAACAGUAUAUACGAAACUACAUUGUAGUUAUUCAUACAGACUAUUUCUUUUGAUGUUGUAUUUUAGUUGUUCAAGAAUAUGGCUUUAAAACUGUGGCAAAUUGUGGGGGAAAAUUGUCAUUGGGUUUCAGUGUGAAUACUUGUGUUUUAAAUACUAGUACAAGAUUAUUAUUUUUGCCAUUGAAUUACAUUUUAAGAAAGCAAAAUGUAGUAGUAGUAAUUGCCACAAAUUUCGAAUAUAAUCUAUAAAAGUUA